rnacentral:rRNA from 1 species
ACCCACAACCCAACACCAAUUACCCAUUAUUAAUAACCCCUAAAACACGAAACAAAAUAAACAAAUCAUUUUUCCCUUAUAGUAUAUGAGAUAGAAAAUAAGCUUUGGAGUAACAGAACAAGUACCGCAAGGGAACGCUGAAAAAGAAAUGAAAAACCAGUAAAGCAAAGAAAAGCAGAGACCAAAACUCGUACCUUUUGCAUCAUGAAUUAGCCAGUAACCUUUAAGCAAAAUGAAUUUUAGUUUAAACCCCCGAAACUAAGUGAGCUACUCCAAGACAGCCUAAAUAUAGGGCAAACCCGUCUCUGUGGCAAAAGAGUGGGAAGAGCUUUGAGUAGAGGUGAUAAACCUACCGAACUUAGUAAUAGCUGGUUGCCUGAUAAAUGAAUAGAAGUUCAGCCUAUUAACUUUUUAUCUCCCAACUGGCUCACCCUAAAAGCUAAAUAUCAAGAAGUUAAUAGAGUUAAUUAAAGGGGGUACAGCCCCUUUAAAAAAAGACACAACUUUAACAGAAGGUAAAAGAUUAAAAUUAACUUAAGGC